rnacentral:rRNA from 1 species
AGGACGAACGCUGGCGGCGUGCCUAACACAUGCAAGUCGAGCGAGGAGAUCCUCGGGAUGAUCCUAGCGGCGGACGGGUGAGUAACACGUGGGCAACCUGCCUCAUAGAGAGGAAUAGCCUUCCGAAAGGGAGAUUAAUACCUCAUAACAUUGCAGUUUCGCAUGGAACAGCAAUUAAAGGAGCAAUCCACUAUGAGAUGGGGCCCGCGGCGCAUUAGCUAGUUGGUGAGGUAACGGCUCACCAAGGCGACGAUGCGUAGCCGACCUGAGAGGGUGAUCGGCCACAUUGGGACUGAGACACGGCCCAGACUCCUACGGGAGGCAGCAGUGGGGAAUAUUGCACAAUGGGGGAAACCCUGAUGCAAGCAACGCCGCGUGAGUGAUGACGGCCUUCGGGUUGUAAAGCUCUGUCUUCAGGGACGAUAAUGACGGUACCUGAGGAGGAAGCCACGGCUAACUACGUGCCAGCCGCAGC